rnacentral:antisense_RNA from 1 species
GUCUAUGGCGGGCCGUGUGGGAGAGCCGCAAGGCUCGCCGGUUCCUUUUGCCCGGUACGCCAAUCCCGCACGCGCCCGCCACCCCC